rnacentral:rRNA from 1 species
ACAGCAGCCGCCGCGGUAAUACGGAGGGUGCAAGCGUUAAUCGGAAUUACUGGGCGUAAAGCGCACGCAGGCGGUCUGACAAGUCAGAUGUGAAAUCCCCGGGCUUAACCUGGGAACUGCAUUUGAAACUGUCAGGCUGGAGUCUUGUAGAGGGGGGUGGAAUUCCAGGUGUAGCGGUGAAAUGCGUAGAGAUCUGGAGGAAUACCGGUGGCGAAGGCGGCCCCCUGGACAAAGACUGACGCUCAGGUGCGAAAGCGUGGGGAGCAAACAGGAUUAGAUACCCGGGUAGUCCCUGUCUCUUAUAC